AUCGAGUCUGAUCCAGUGAUCAUCAAACCUGAUCAGUCUCAUAAACUGACCUGCACAGCCUCUGGAUUUAGUGGCUAUUACAUGUCUUGGAUCAGACAGGUGCCUGGAAAAGGGCUGGAAUGGGUUGCAUAUAUCUCAAGUAGCAGUAGUGACAUAAAUUACUCCAGUGCUGUUAAGGGCCGCUUCACCAUCUCCAGAGACAACAGUAAGAAGCAGGUGUAUCUACAGAUGAACAACAUGAGGACAGAAGACACUGCAGUUUAUUACUGCGCCCGAUGUGUUCCGGUUCUCUGCGUUGGAACCUACAAGUCAAACUCCUUGUCCCUGGAACUUUCGUUGCUGUCAAGGGUCCUCAACAUUCCCAAAAAUGUUGUUUGUGAACAUUAA